rnacentral:lncRNA from 1 species
GUUUUCGUUUUCAGUUUUCAUUUGCAGUCACCAUCCAGCCACGGCUCCAAAGUGCAAACCGAAACCGAGCAAUAAGCCAAUAACAGACGGCAGCAAGAGUUGAUCUUCGUCCACAGCAAGAGUAGAGUUCCACAAAUCCCCUCGAUCGGAAUACCGCUUUUCUGAGAAAGCCCCCGUCAAUUUGGAUCCGAUUGUUUGGUUAGGAGGCGGCGCUGAAGAAUGAAAAAUGACCGGGCUUGAGAAACGAAACCCGAAAUCGAAAUCGAGAAUUGGUAGAGUUCCACAAAUCCCCUCAAUCGGAAAACCGCAUUUCUGACAAAGCCCCCGUCAAUUUCGAUCCGAUUGUUUGGGUAGGAGGCGGCGCUGAAGAAGGAAAACGGAACGGGCUUGAGAAAUGAAACCCGAAAUUAAACCUGGCCUUUGGGAAAAAGUCAAAAUCGAGGUCACCCAAUUCCAGACGAGGGGACGCUGCCCAAGUGAAUUGCGUAAUUGGUAGAGUUCCACAAAUCCCCUCCAUCGGAAUACCGCAUAUCUGACAAAGCCCCCGUCAAUUUCGAUCCGAUUGUUUGGGGAGGAGGCGGCGCUGAAGAAGGAAAACGGACUGGGCUUGACAAACGAUACCCGAAAUUCAGCAUGGCCUUGGGGAAGAGGUCGAAAUCGAGGUCACCGAAUUCUGGACGAGGGAACGUUGCCCAAGUGAAUUGCGUACAAACAGUCAGGACGGAGCCUCAGUGUAAAUGGAGAAGAGCUACGGGAGUUAAGAAGGGAAAAGGUGGGCAUGAAAUACGCUCGGAUGUGAGUGGAGAAACAGAUGUGCGGAAUGCAGAAAAGUCAUAUUGUGGUGCAUUAGGAGGACACCCUUGUAAAAUGAAUACAUAUAAUGGGUCAGAAGGGGUUGAGUCUAUGAAGCUAAGGGUUGGU